UGGGGAAUAUUGCACAAUGGGGGAAACCCUGAUGCAGCCAUGCCGCGUGUGUGAAGAAGGCCUUCGGGUUGUAAAGCACUUUCAGUGGGGAGGAAGGGCUGAUGACUAAUAUUCAUCAGCAUUGACGUUACCCACAGAAGAAGCACCGGCUAACUCCGUGCCAGCAGCCGCGGUAAUACGGAGGGUGCAAGCGUUAAUCGGAAUAACUGGGCGUAAAGCGCACGCAGGCGGUUAGAUAAGUCAGAUGUGAAAGCCCCGGGCUCAACCUGGGAACUGCAUUUGAAACUGUCUGACUAGAGUCUUGUAGAGGGGGGUAGAAUUCCAGGUGUAGCGGUGAAAUGCGUAGAGAUCUGGAGGAAUACCGGUGGCGAAGGCGGCCCCCUGGACAAAGACUGACGCUCAGGUGCGAAAGCGUGGGGAGCAAACAG
rnacentral:rRNA from 1 species